rnacentral:tRNA from 2 species
GGAGGGGUGUCUGAGUGGUCGAAAGUGCCGCCCUCGAAAUGCGGUAGGCGAGAGCCUCGCGGGUUCGAAUCCCGCCCCCUCCUCCA